UCGCCUCCCGCUAGUCCGCGCCUGCGGCUCGGCCGCCAGCAGACCCUCGGCUGGGUCUCGGGCGUGACUACGCGCCCCGGCCGCUGGAGACGGCGACCGGCGCAAAGGGGGUGCCGCAGCCCGGCCGGGGGAGAGGCCAAGGUUAUCGGCGCGGCCCAAGCCCCGGACCCGGCCACGAGCGGCGCGCCGCGAGCGCAGCGUUCCGGGCGCGUGAAGAAAGCAGGCGUUCUCGGGCCUCGCCCCAGCUCUCCGGAAGCGUGGAGCCCAGGCUGCCAGGUGGCAGUGACUUGCUUUUGUUAGGCCAGGAUUCCUGCCAUCGCUCCCUUCCCCGAAGCUACGAGCUGCCUCCCUUGACCUCCAGUCCUUUCUGCCCAGGAGGCUGCAAGGGGAGGGACGCGGCCAGCCCGCAAACUCUUUUCAGACCUGGGUUCUAGGACAGCCCCAGAGGUGGCUCAGCACCCAGCUCUUCCUGGAUGCUGGCGGCUGCUCCAGGCUGGGAUGGUGGGGCUGCCCUGUGGAGAGCGGCUACAGCCUUUGGACAGGUUCACGCCUCGGACUGAUGAGAGGGCACAGUCCUCUUGUGGCCACGUGCAAGGCCCAGCGUGGAGGGCAGGGCCUCCCAGCACAGUGAUAGCCAACAGCUGGAGUUGUCAGCUUGAACCUGUGGUCCGAACACGUGGCCCCAUGUGCCCGAGUGAUGUGGGCUUGAUAGAGUUCAGGUGCAUGUAACUGAGUGGGAUCGAAACCCACGAGAAUGCUGUAAACAUCUUGACCACGCCCUUCCUGUGCCUCGUGGCAUCGGCUAUAAAUAAAGACACGGCUUGUAGUCCGUGGCGCUGUCGCUAGCUCUCCAUCAGAGAGGACAGUGUCCCACCCAGA